rnacentral:tRNA from 1 species
CAAGAUGAAGCUAAAANAGAAUAGCAUCUCCCUUACACUGAGAAGUCACCCGUGCAAGUCGGGUCAUUUUGA